CUCAGUUGUCUCUGGGUCCUAGGAUUCCAGCCUAGGCCUGAAGGGAUUUCCCUGGGUAAGCAUCUGGGGCAGGCCAUGCAUGGCCAUGACUCCAACCCAAGGGCUGGAGACAAGGGGAUGGGGGAUGUCUUAUCUUGCAGUUUCAGCCAGGCUUGGAGGAUCUUUGCCUGGAGUGUAGCCCUGCAGCCGGAAGGCAGCUGUGUCUGUGGUUGGGGUAUGCAGCUACAGCUAAGGAGAAUUUGUGUCUGACCUGAGAUCCCAGCUCACACCUGAGGAAUGCAUGCUUGGAGCUGUGGCUGGUGGCUGAGACAUCUUUGGCUGUGAUCACAAAGGACCCUGGGGGAAAUUCCUGGCCAUUGUUGGAAGCUGUGGCUCUGAUACCUGGGGCUCCAGCUCAGAGCUGGAGGCUCCUCCGCCAGGACUACAGCCCUGUGGCUGGGGAGGGGGUGGCUGAACCCAUGUCUUAUGGCUGGGGGGAGUGGCUGGAGGCUGAGGCUUG
rnacentral:lncRNA from 1 species